rnacentral:rRNA from 1 species
GACGAACGCUGGCGGCGUGCUUAACACAUGCCAGUCGAACGGAAAGGCCCUGCUUUUGUGGGGUGCUCGAGUGGCGAACGGGUGAGUAACACGUGAGUAACCUGCCCUUGACUUUGGGAUAACUUCAGGAAACUGGGGCUAAUACCGGAUAGGAGCUCCUGCUGCAUGGUGGGGGUUGGAAAGUUUCGGCGGUUGGGGAUGGACUCGCGGCUUAUCAGCUUGUUGGUGGGGUAGUGGCUUACCAAGGCUUUGACGGGUAGCCGGCCUGAGAGGGUGACCGGCCCAAUGGGGAUGGGGAAACGCCCAGACCCCCAAGGGGGGGAAGGGGGGGGGAAUUUUGCAAAAGGGGGGGAAGCUGGAGGCAGCAACCCCGGGGGGGGGAUGACGGCCUUGGGGUUGUAAACCCCUUUCGCCUGGGACGAAGCGGGAGUGCGGGAAAUGGGGAAAGAAGCACCGGCUAACUACGU